AUUGUUGGAAGUGGUUACAUAGGUCUUGAGUUCAGUGAUGUAUAUACAGCUCUUGGGAGUGAGGUUACUUUCAUUGAAGCUUUAGAUCAGCUUAUGCCUGGUUUUGAUCCUGAGAUUGGAAAGUUAGCCCAGAGGGUUCUAAUUAAUCCACGGAAGAUUGAUUAUCAAACUGGGGUAUUCGCAUCCAAGAUCACACCAGCCAAGGAUGGGAAGCCAGUCACCAUUGACCUAAUUGAUGCAAAGACCAAGGAACCAAAAGAAACUCUUGAGGUAAAUAAUUGGAUCUGUUUGAACU